GAGGGGGAAUUUUUCACUUAAUGGAGCUGGCUGGUAAAGACAGCCAACCUAUCCCUUGAUACUGAAGUUCCUGUUCUACCUCAUUUACUGCCACAAUCCUCCAUAAACCAAAGGGAGCACAACAAGCCUAAUGUAGCAUGAGGAGUGAGGCAGGGUUAACUCAGCUGAAGAGAUUUACAACAACCCUUGAGAACGGGCUUCAUAUCUGUGCAGUGCUUGAAGAGUUCUAAGUCCUUCUGGUGCAUGAUCUAGCUGUAAUCCUUACAGCAAAUGGCUUGGGUCAAGGGUAGCUGAGAGAUUGCUUCUGCUGCUGCUGUCCUACCUGUUCCUUAAGAUCAGAAGAAGAGAUCCUUCUCUGUGCCCCAACUAGAGCACAGCAAGUGAUGGCAGCAAGCGAUAGAGGACCUGACCCAAUGAGGAAGAUAAAUGCUUCUGUCCACCCUCUGACUUGAGCCUGGCAAGACUUUGGAUUUUGCAGUUCCUCCACCGCUAUGCCUCCCUCCCC